UUAUUACUAUGAUGAUACUCCAUGCACCACUCUGAAACUUUUAGUGCUGAUUAUGGAUUUCUGAUAUGCA